GCAGGGUUAGAAUAUAAAUUCCUAUUUCUGUCUCAAAUAAAAUGUAUCAUGUAUAGAUACACUCUGCU